CCUACGGGGGGCAGCAGUGGGGAAUAUUGCACAAUGGGGGAAACCCUGAUGCAGCGACGCCGCGUGAGUGAAGAAGUAUUUCGGUACGUAAAGCUCUAUCAGCAGGGAAGAAAAUGACGGUACCUGACUAAGAAGCCCCGGCUAACUACGUGCCAGCAGCCGCGGUAAUACGUAGGGGGCAAGCGUUAUCCGGGUUUACUGGGUGUAAAGGGAGCGUAGACGGCAGCGCAAGUCUGGAGUGAAAUCCCAUGGCUUAACCAUGGAACUGCUUUGGAAACUGUGCAGCUAGAGUGCAGGAGAGGUAAGCGGAAUUCCUAGUGUAGCGGUGAAAUGCGUAGAUAUUAGGAGGAACACCAGUGGCGAAGGCGGCUUACUGGACUGUAACUGACGUUGAGGCUCGAAAGCGUGGGGAGCAAACAGGAUUAGAUACCCCAGUAGUC
rnacentral:rRNA from 1 species